GACGAACGCUGGCGGCGUGCUUAACACAUGCAAGUCGAACGGAAAGGCCCCUUUGGGGGUACUCGAGUGGCGAACGGGUGAGUAACACGUGAGUAACCUGCCCUUGACUUCGGGAUAACUUCAGGAAACUGGGGCUAAUACCGGAUAGGAAUCCUUGCUGCAUGGUGGGGGUUGGAAAGCUUCGGCGGGUUUGGAUGGACUCGCGGCUUAUCAGCUUGUUGGUGGGGUAGGGGCUUCCAAGGCUUUGAGGGGUCGCCGGCCUGAGGGGGGGACCGGCCACAUUGGGACUGAGAUACGGCCCAAACCCCUCCGGGGGGCAGAAGGGGGGAAUAUUGCACAAGGGGCGGAAGCCUGAUGCAGCAACGCCGGGGGGGGGAUGACGGCCUUCGGGUUUUAACCCGCUUUCAGCGGGGGCGAAGCUUGGGGGGACGGUACCUGAAAAAGAAGCACCGGCUAACUACGU
rnacentral:rRNA from 1 species